rnacentral:lncRNA from 1 species
ACCUAUUGCGCCUGUUCAACAGAACAAGAGGCCCAGACCGGUGAUCUAGGCUCCCCCUCAGGCUCCAGUAGCAGGACGCGGUAAGAUCUGUCAGCAUUGUGACAGGGAUCAUGGCGACCGACCUUGCUAUCGCCUCAACAACACCUGUUGCAUAUGUGGUAGUGCCCAGCAUUAUGCGAAGGAGUGCCCAACGAACCAGAAUUAGGGCAAACCUCCUAUCUAGGGUAGAGCUAACAAUCUUACCCAGCAGGAUACAGAAGCUAAUCCAGACAUGGUUCAUAGUAUGUACACUAUCUAUAACUACCUU